rnacentral:rRNA from 1 species
GGCAGAGGGUGCAAACGUUGUUCGGAAUCACUGGGCGUAAAGCGCGUGUAGGCGGCUUGGCAAGUCGGAUGUGAAAUCCCACGGCUCAACCAUGGAAGUGCAUUCGAAACUGCCAGACUAGAGUCCUGGAGAGGAAGGCGGAAUACUCGGUGUAGAGGUGAAAUUCGUAGAUAUCGAGUGGAACACCGGUGGCGAAGGCGGCCUUCUGGACAGUGACUGACGCUGAAACGCGAAAGCGGGGGAGCAAACAGGAUUAGAAACCCGAGUAGU